rnacentral:rRNA from 1 species
CCUACGGGGGGCUGCAGUGGGGAAUAUUGGGCAAUGGACGCAAGUCUGACCCAGCAACGCCGCGUGAAGGAAGAAGGCUUUCGGGUUGUAAACUUCUUUUAAGGGGGAAGAGCAGAAGACGGUACACCUUGAAUAAGCCACGGCUAACUACGUGCCAGCAGCCGCGGUAAUACGUAGGUGGCAAGCUUUAUCCGGAUUUACUGGGUGUAAAGGGCGUGUAGGCGGGAAAGCAAGUCAGAUGUGAAAACCAUGGGCUCAACCUGUGGCCUGCAUUUGAAACUGUUUUUCUUGAGUACUGGAGAGGCAGACGGAAUUCCUAGUGUAGCGGUGAAAUGCGUAGAUAUUAGGAGGAACACCAGUGGCGAAGGCGGUCUGCUGGACAGCAACUGACGCUGAGGCGCGAAAGCGUGGGGAGCAAACAGGAUUAGAUACCCGGGUAGUC